AAGGGCUAGUAAGGGAUUUCUUGGAAAUGAUAGGCGAUGAAGGACGUGCAAAUCUGCGAAAAGUAUCGGGUAGUCGAUAAGAGACCUUAAUCCGUUAAUCUCCGAAUGUAGAAAUACAGUAGAAACUAAUCUUUCUACUAUUACCGCAUGAAUUCAU
rnacentral:rRNA from 1 species